CAGCAACCAGCCAUCUCCAUUAUGGCAUCGCGUCACCUCAAAGAAUAGUUAACAACAAGCAGAGAUGCUCCAUAAAUCAAUGCAAUGCAGUUCAGACAAUCUCACCUUCAAUUCCGGAUUUUGAAUCCAAAAAUCGUCAAUUCAAUCGGCAAGAGAUCCUCCCUACUCGAAGAACAUCUCUGAAAACGAAUUAGAGCCAAUCAGGCGGCUGGCAUUGCAUGAUUUGAGCUUAUGGCGGGAUGAUUUGGUCAAAAAAAGGGUCCCACUUUCUUCCCAGUAACCAAUAAACGGGACCGUUUAAGGAAAACGAGAUUCAACAAGCAACAUGUCGUUUGUAACAAAAGGUAUGUAUGUAUGUAUCUCCCCAUUCGACUAGCUGAAAAUCUCUCCUCCUCCUCUCAAUGGUUUAGUAAAGUGGGUUGCCGUACAGAGAGAGAGAGACAGAGAGAGUGAUGAACGACCUGUCCAAUGCAACUUUGAGAGAACAUAACAGCCACAGCUGCAAGCCAAUACCAAGACUAGCAGUCUGCAUUUUACUACUUGUAUUCUUUGUUGGGCUUUCAGUUUCUGUUUUUAUACUCGUUGUGGUCCAUAAUGUUUUCUUCUUUCUUUCUUUUAUCUUGCUCUUUGCUUUAGUUCUUUCCUUUUUAGCUUGGAAUAAGCUUAAUUGGAGACGUAAAGCUGCUGUCUUUUGGUGUCUUCGUUCUUUUCCUGAUUCUGACCUUGCUGCUGCUACUGAAGGACAGCUUGUUAAAAUUACUGGGCUGGUAUCCUGUGGAAGCGUUUCCCUGGAAUCUUCAUAUGAGAGAGCUGCCAGAUGUACCUACGUAUCUACUCUUUUGUAUGAAUAUGGAGGUUUUGGAGUGAAGCCAAUGAAUGCUAAUACAUCAUGCUUACAGUGGAAUCUAAAAUAUUGCGAGAGGUUCUCCACAGACUUCUACAUAACUGAUCGAAAGUCUGGUAUCAGAGCCAUGGUAAAAGCUGGUUCAGGUUGUAAAGUUGUUCCCUUGAUUGUUGAGAGCAAACUUGUGACUACAAGGCAAUGCAGAACCCUAUCUUCUCACUUGAGGAAAUGGUUGCAAGAAAGAAACCUGUCAGCCGAGGCCCGCCUACUACGAUUGGAAGAAGGGUACGUACAAGAAGGCAGCUUUGUUACCGUGAUUGGUGUUUUGCGUAGAAAUAAUGAUAUUUCGAUGAUUGUUCAGCCACAAGAGCUUUUCUCCACAGGAUGCCUGUGGCAAAAGCUUUUACUCCCUGUGGAUGUUGAUGGGCUAAUCCUGGGGUUCCCAGAUACUGCUGGCCCUAACAUGAACCCAGGUUACACACAACACUCGGAACAAUAAUGUCAAACCUCUCAGAAAAUUAGGAAUAGGUGGUUCUUUUCUGAUCUUCAUGCCUAGCCGCUCCCAGGUCCAAAGAUUCUUGUGCUUACCAUCUAAAAAUGACCCCUCAAAGACCACCAUGAAAUGAUGAAGAUUUAUAGGGAUUGGAAGAAACUUCUUCCGUGGCAGGGCAUGGGUGGCCUGAACUCCCUAUACCGGAUAACAAUAAUUUUCAAUAAUAAUAAAAAAUAAACAGCAUUGAAUAUGGUCACUGGAAAUUCUUAGCAAUUAAAAUUCGUAGAAUUUGCAGUAAACUUCUUGCCCAACAUAGCUCGCAAGCAAGUAGCGUGCAAGCCAAGGUGCUCCGGAGUUCGCUGGAUCAGUGUGAGGGACGAGUGCCCACCUGCAGCUCCCAAGAUCUCGUGAGGAUACCCCCAGUGCCUGCUUGAAUGCUUCUUAGUGUUCCAAGAAAACAAAUGAAGACGAAAUCCUGGUUAAUAAAAAAACGAAACUUGUCAAAAGCAACAGCGUGAACUUCAACUAUAUGCAUCAAACAAAAAUCUUCAGUAACAUUUCUUCUCAAAGGCUAGUUGUAGGAUGGGAGUCUGUCCGUCUUUUCAAGGUAAACGCAGUAAAAAGACAAGUCGUUCUUUGAGAAACCCAAAAUGUUUAAGCGACAAGUCUCUUACUCCACCAGCAAUGACACAUAAAGGAAAACCUGGAGGUGAAAGAAACAACAAUUAAAAUCAAGAGAAGGAAAAUAAUGCAGAGGGUCUCUUCAAAGACAAUCUUCUUCUCUAUCCUUAAAGGGCCGAAUAAUUACAGUGCCUUGCUUCACUCUAACAUCCUUCUCCUCAUACACAGACAACAACUGCACCAAAACCCCAGCAACAACAUAUCAAACAAAACAACCAAUGGGUUUGGUCUUAUUUCUCUUAAAACCCAACAACCACAACCACAACCACACGAACGGGACAACAAAGUCGAUGAAUUUGCAAGCGAUGUCGAGAAGGUAUAUAGAUUACUCAGGAAAUUUCACUCUAGAGUUCCUAAAUUAGAACUUGCUUUACAGGAAUCUGGUGUUGUACUGCGUAAUGGUCUCACUGAACGUGUCUUGAAUCGCUGCGGCGAUGCUGGGAUUUUAGCUUAUAAAUUCUUUGUCUGGGCAUCGAAGCAGCCUUGUUAUAGACAUUGUUAUGAGAAUUAUAAGGCUAUGAUUAAGGUUUUGAGUAAAAUGAAACAAUUUGGUGCUGUUUGGGCUUUGCUAGAGGAAAUGAGAGAUAACAGUGUGUUAAUAACGAGUGAAGUUUUUGUUGUUGUUAUGAGGAGGUUUGCUUCUUCUAGAAUGGUGAACAAGGCAAUUGAAGUUUUAGAUGAGAUGCCAAAGUAUGGAUGUGAACCUGAUGAGUAUGUGUUUGGUUGUUUAUUGGAUGCUUUGUGUAAGAACGGUAGUGUUAAGGAAGCUGCUUCUCUUUUUGAGGAUAUGAGAGUGAGAUUUAGUCCAAGUUUGAAGCAUUUUACAUGUUUGUUGUAUGGUUGGUGUAAGGAAGGGAAGUUAUUGGAGGCUAAACAUGUGUUGGUACAAAUGAGGGAAGCGGGGUUUGAGCCAGAUAUUGUGGUGUAUAACAAUUUGUUAAGUGGGUAUGCAACGGCUGGGAAAAUGGGGGAUGCUUUUGAUUUAUUGAAGGAGAUUAGGAGGAAAGGAUGCGACCCUAAUGCGACUUCUUAUACCAUUUUGAUUCAGGCACUUUGUGGGCAGGAGAAGAUGGAUGAGGCGAUGAGAGUAUUUGUUGAGAUGGAGAGAAGUGGUUGUGAUGCUGAUGUUGUGACUUAUACUGCUUUGGUAAGUGGCUUUUGCAAGUGGAGGAUGAUAGAUAAGGGAUAUCAGAUUUUGCAAAGCAUGAUACAGAAAGGGCAUAUGCCCAAUCAAUUGACUUAUUUGCAUCUGAUGUUGGCCCAUGAGAAGAAGGAAGAGUUGGAAGAGUGCAAGGAAUUGAUGGGGGAGAUGCAAAAGAUUGGUUGUAUUCCAGAUCUUAGUAUUUAUAAUGUAGUGAUUAGAUUGGCCUGCAAGUUGGGGGAGGUGAAUGCUGGUGUUGAUGCUUGGAAUGAAAUGGAAGUAAGUGGCCUUAGUCCAGGACUUGAUACUUUUGUUAUUAUGAUUAAUGGGUUUCUAGGGCAUGGAUACCUGGUCGAGGCUUGUCAGUAUUUCAAAGAAAUGGUUGAGAGAGGUCUUUUGUCUAGUCGUCAAUAUGGCAUACUGAAGGAUUUAUUGAAUGCCUUGCUGCGAGGUGAGAAGCUUGAAUUGGCUAAAGAUCUUUGGAGUUGCAUUGUGACUAAAGGAUGUGAGCUUAAUGUGGAUUCAUGGACAAUUUGGAUUCAUGCACUGUUCUCAAAUGGGCAUGUGAAGGAAGCAUGUUCAUAUUGUCUGGACAUGAUGGAUGCUGAUUUAAUGCCAAAACCAGAAACUUUUGCUAAGCUCAUGCGUGGUUUAAGGAAAUUGUAUAACAGACAGUUUGCAGCCGAGAUCACAGAGAAGGUGAGGAAGAUGGCUGCGGAUAGACAUGUGACUUUCAAAAUGUAUAAACGACGAGGGGAGAGGGAUUUGAUAGAAAAGGCCAAGGCGAAAAAGGAUGGGAGAAAAAGAAGGGCCCGCAGACGCCAGUGGGGUGGGGGUCAUAAUAGAGCUAGCAUUUUGUAGUUUUUGUGUUGGACUGUUAUCAAGCGACUGAAUUGUUUUAUUGGAUUGCUUUCGAGUCUGUGUGCUUGCUUGCCCUGGUGUGACAUGGAGCUGCUUCAAUCUUUAAACAUGCGAAUGGAACAAGGGCUCUAAUAUGCUGCUCCAGGAAAGGUGACAGUUGAGAACACUCCAGACUAAGACUGGUGAAGAAUAUCAAUUGUACAUUCAUGCAUCUAAUGUACAUGAUAUUGCUUCUAAAUUAUACAUUCUAUCCUUAUUGCUGUCAUCCAAACCAUUUCGUGUUUGUGACUGACUUCCCCUGCUCAAGUGAUGGAAAAGACGCUAUCAGUAUUACCAAUAUGAUAAUGGUUCUUCAAAUGUUUUUCUUUCUAGUCUUUUUUAUUGUUUUGUAUUCUGGUUAUCUUUACUAUUCUGUUGAAUUCAGUGGUAGUGGCUGUUUAUGCAGCUGUUGCCCGAAAGGCAGAUGAUAUGAUCUCCUCUUUUUUUCCCAAUUCAAUUAUGCUUUUGGUGCGCUUUA